rnacentral:rRNA from 1 species
GACGAACGCUGGCGGCGUGCCUAAUACAUGCAAGUUGAGCGAUGAAGAUUGGUGCUUGCACCAAUUUGAUGAGCAGCGAACGGGUGAGUAACGCGUGGGGAAUCUGCCUUUGAGCGGGGGACAACAUUUGGAAACGAAUGCUAAUACCGCAUAAUAACUUUAAACACAAGUUUUAAGUUUGAAAGAUGCAAUUGCAUCACUCAAAGAUGAUCCCGCGUUGUAUUAGCUAGUUGGUGAGGUAAAGGCUCACCAAGGCGAUGAUACAUAGCCGACCUGAGAGGGUGAUCGGCCACAUUGGGACUGAGACACGGCCCAAACUCCUACGGGAGGCAGCAGUAGGGAAUCUUCGGCAAUGGACGAAAGUCUGACCGAGCAACGCCGCGUGAGUGAAGAAGGUUUUCGGAUCGUAAAACUCUGUUGGUAGAGAAGAACGUUGGUGAGAGUGGAAAGCUCAUCAAGUGACGGUAACUACCCAGAAAGGGACGGCUAACUACGUG